UGGGGAAUAUUGGACAAUGGGGGCAACCCUGAUCCAGCAAUGCCGCGUGUGUGAAGAAGGCCUGAGGGUUGUAAAGCACUUUUAGCAGGAAAGAAAUCUUUCAUAUUAAUACUAUGGAGGCUUGACGUUACCUGAAGAAAAAGCACCGGCUAACUCUGUGCCAGCAGCCGCGGUAAUACAGAGGGUGCAAGCGUUAAUCGGAAUUACUGGGCGUAAAGAGCACGUAGGUGGUCGUGACAGUCAGAUGUGAAAUCCCCGGGCUUAACCUGGGAACUGCAUUUGAAACUACACGACUAGAGUAGAGUAGAGGAAGGCGGAAUUUCCGGUGUAGCAGUGAAAUGCGUAGAGAUCGGAAGGAACACCAGUGGCGAAGGCGGCUUUCUGGAUUCAUACUGACACUGAGGUGCGAAAGCGUGGGGAGCAAACAGG
rnacentral:rRNA from 1 species